CAGCAGCCACGGUAAUACGUAGGGUGCAAGCGUUAAUCGGAAUUACUGGGCGUAAAGCGUGCGCAGGCGGUUAUAUAAGACAGAUGUGAAAUCCCCGGGCUCAACCUGGGAACUGCAUUUGUGACUGUAUAGCUAGAGUACGGCAGAGGGGGGUGGAAUUCCGCGUGUAGCAGUGAAAUGCGUAGAUAUGCGGAGGAACACCGAUGGCGAAGGCAAUCCCCUGGGCCUGUACUGACGCUCAUGCACGAAAGCGUGGGGAGCAAACAGGAUUAGAUACCCGGGUAGUCCCUGUCUCUUAUAC
rnacentral:rRNA from 1 species